UGUCUGGGGCGGGGCGGGGAUGGGGGGAGUGAGUCUCUGGCUCUCUCUGCUCCCUGGGGUCUUGCCUCGACCCCCAUCUCCUGAGGUAUCCCCCGCUCGCGUCUGCCGCCCGGAGUGACCCCGCCCCUGCUCUCCCGCAGGUGUUCCACGUGGCCACAGCAUUCGCGUCACAAUGACCUGGCACACAGGAAAGAACCAAACUCUUGUUUAUGGAUUACCCUGCAAUGUACAGAUCACAUGAAGAAAAAGUGUUGGAAUAGGCUAAUGUGGAAAUCACGGUCGUGAAUGUAACAACGUGUCACAGAGGCUAAGUGGCUUCAAAGGCAAUGUCUAAAAGUGAACAAAUAUGUGAGACAAGCAUUAUCUAGUCAGCAUGGCACUGAAAUUCCCUGGGCUCCCAGAGAGCUCCUACUCUUGUGCCAGAUAGCAGCUAUUCAGAAACAAAAGCACACUCCUGAACUACUGAAGCCUCUCUGAGAACCCAGGGAACUGACAACACAUCGGCUGGGGUUCGAGCUCCUCUUUUGUAAACACAGACAGAGGCAGAGUAAAUCUCAAUUUUCAUUUUGUUUGCCGUACUUUCCUGGUUUCCCUCUCAUGGUGAGUCUCACUCUGUUGCCUGGGAGAGUGCCGUGGCGUCA